rnacentral:lncRNA from 1 species
GUGGCACAAUGCUCCAUGCAAUUCUCAGUUAAAACACAUAAUAACCCCUUUUGGGCAGGUGAUUGUAUAUCAUAACUAGAAAGUAUCUCUCUCAUGAUGAAAAAUUGCAUAAACUGACAUAAAUAAACUAUUGGAUUUUUAGAUGAUUAGCAUGUAGAUUUUUCAUUUCAUAAAAAUACGCAGCGAAAAGAUAAAAUUAAAACAAUUUUAAUUUUAUUCAUGCCCGGAUCUAAUCCUAC